UACGUAGGCGGAAAAUUAAGUCAGUGGUGAAAUCCUGCAGCUUAACUGUAGAACUGUCAUUGAUACUGGUUUUCUUGAAUACAGUUGAGGUAGGCGGAAUGUGUAAUGUAGCGGUGAAAUGCUUAGAUAUUACACAGAACACCGAUUGCGAAGGCAGCUUACUAAACUGUUAUUGACGCUGAGGUACGAAAGCGUGGGGAGCGAACAGGAUUAGAUACCCUGGUAGUAC
rnacentral:rRNA from 1 species